GUAGUCAUAUGCUUGUCUCAAAGAUUAAGCCAUGCAUGUCUAAGUAUAAACAAUUUCGUACUGUGAAACUGCGAAUGGCUCAUUAUAUCAGUUAUAGUCUACUCGAUAGUACCUUACUACUUGGAUAACCGUAGUAAUUCUAGAGCUAAUACAUGCACAAAUACCCAACUGCUUGUCGGACGGGUAGCAUUUAUUAGAUUGAAACCAAUGCAGUCUUCGGGCUGGUAUUGUGUUGGGUCAUAAUAACUGUGCGGAUCGCACUCAGUGCGAUAAAUCGAUUGAGUUUCUGCCCUAUCAGCUUUGGAUGGUAGGAUAUGGGCCUACCAUGGCAUCAACGGGUAACGGGGAAU
rnacentral:rRNA from 1 species